CCUACGGGUGGCAGCAGUGGGGAAUAUUGGACAAUGGGGGGAACCCUGAUCCAGCCAUGCCGCGUGUGUGAAGAAGGCCCUCGGGUUGUGAAGCACUUUCAGUGAGGAAGAACGCCUGGUGGUUAAUACCCAUCAGGAAAGACAUCACUCACAGAAGAAGCACCGGCUAACUCCGUGCCAGCAGCCGCGGUAAUACGGAGGGUGCGAGCGUUAAUCGGAAUUACUGGGCGUAAAGCGCGCGUAGGUGGCUUGAUAAGCCGGUUGUGAAAGCCCCGGGCUCAACCUGGGAACGGCAUCCGGAACUGUCAAGCUAGAGUGCAGGAGAGGAAGGUAGAAUUCCCGGUGUAGCGGUGAAAUGCGUAGAGAUCGGGAGGAAUACCAGUGGCGAAGGCGGCCUUCUGGACUGACACUGACACUGAGGUGCGAAAGCGUGGGUAGCAAACAGGAUUAGAUACCCGAGUAGUC
rnacentral:rRNA from 1 species